GACGGAGGCGAGAAAGAACGGAGAGAGAGAGAGGGGACAGAAACGAGGGGAAGCCCGCUUCCUUCCGUUCUUCCUUUCCGCGUCCAAACCACGCCGUUCCCUCCUCCCCCCUCCCUUUCCCUACCUUAUUUUUCCUAGCAAACGAACGUCUUUUUCAAAACCCCUCUCUUUCUUCUCUCUCCUUUUACUCCUCUGCUUUCUUAUCCUUCUCCUUUCUCUUUGGAUUGUUCCCGUUUUCCUGAUCUAUUUUCUUGGCUUCUAUCAAGAACUGGGAUUUGGAGUCAAAGAUCGAUCGGUAUUGGACGGUCUGAUCGGUUCUUGGGACAGUCGAGAUGGAUUUGUUCAACAGGGCGAGGGUGGUCCGGCUGCGGAGCCACCACGACAAAUAUUUGAUGGCGGACGAGGACGAGGAGCACGUGUGCCAGGAGCGCAAUGGGGCGUCCCGCAACGGCCGGUGGACGGUGCAGAUCGUGGACGGGCCCGCCCCGGUGCUGCGCCUCAAGAGUUGCUACAACCGCUACCUCACCGCCUCGAACGAGCCCUUCCUCCUCGGCUUAACCGGCCGCAAGGUCUUCCAGACCGCGCCCCCCCGCCUCGACUCCUCCGUCGAGUGGGAGCCCAUCCGCGAGGGCGUUCAGGUCAAGCUCAAGACCCGCUACGGCCACUUCCUCCGCGCCAAUGGUGGCCUCCCGCCAUGGCGCAACUCGAUCACCCAUGACAUCCCUCAUCGCACCGCCACCCAGGAAUGGAUUCUCUGGGAUGUCGAUGUCGUCGACGUACUCACGAGCCCCUCUGCCUCGCCGGCCGUGCCGUAUCUGCCGGUCGAGCAUGACAGAGCUUCCGAGUCCCCCAAGCCGGCCAACAUGUCCCCGAAACUGUCCAAGAUGGAGUCAUCCUCCUCUUUCUCUGGGUCGCUCCACAAAGUGGAGGGUCGGACUGUUCACUAUACUGUUGCAGACAAUGAUGGCUACGUGGAUGAGAGCUUUGAGGAGUCUUCCUUCAUUUUCAAUGGGCUGAGCGUGGACGAGCUGACUCACAAAUUGGAGGAAGAAACAAAUCUCAGCGAUAUAGUUGUGUGCUACAAAAACCCAGUGAAUGGCAAGCUCUGUCCCCUCCAUCUGACCCUCCCACCUAACAACAUGAUGAUGCAUGUUGUGGUAGUCCGGGCCUCAUCAAAAGGAUUACUCCCUGUUCCAUUUGCGACAUGAGAAGUGCUUCCUAUUCUCAAAUUCCCAUAUUUACCACUGAGAUGAAGUCCGCAAGAUGCAGUUUGAGUGGGAACAUAAGCGAAUUGUUUCAGAAGCGUCUGCUGAAUACUAUUUUCAGUCAUUCUUUGUUGUGGAUCUUAAUCACAGUUUAUUCUCCUUGGCUGUUGAAUAUUUGCUCCCAAGGAGGCUGGACAUGAUAUCAGCAAAGAUAUUUUUCAAUAUGCUGGAGGUUUUGUUGGAUCAGUCUAUCGAUAAUGUUGAAGGGUAUUGUUCUCCUUGCUGAUCCAUACUACAUGAUGUCUCACUACAGAGACCUAAACAAGCUGCAUGGAUUGUAAAGUUUUGAUUUGUAUUUACAAUGCGAAAAGAUCUCAUGUUUUGGUACUGGGUAUUUAUCUUUGCUAUUGGUGUAUUUGUGGCACAAACUUAUUUGGUGAAAGUUGGGAAAAGCUUGCGGAUUAAAUUUUGAAAAAUUAAGAAAUAUAAACUAUGGAAGGUGCUAAAGUUGAAGGCUUCGCGUUUUA